AAGAAGGGAAGACGAAGGGGAAGAGAUUCAGAUUGAUGGACACAACACAAGCAAUGUUAAUGAGACCAGAUGGUCAUCCAAGUAAAUAUGGGCAUUGGCCAAAUGCGAAUGUGGUAUUGUACAAUGACUGUGUUCAUUGGUGCUUGCCUGGUCCUAUUGAUUCUUGGGCUGAUUUCUUGUUUCAUAUGUUCAAGAUGGAGGGCACCAGAUCCCUAGAGGAAAAGCUUCAAUGAGGAGCUAAACAAUACAAUGUACUCUGAUUUUUUAUUUGUUCAAUUUAUUCUAGGAUUGUUGUUGUGAUUUAAAGAGGAACUCUGUUUCUUGGAUAGUUAUGGUUGAUGUGAAGAUGUAACCAUAGCACUGCUAGAAAAGUGAAAAAAAGAAAAGCCUUGUUGCAUUUUAUAGAGCUAAUGAUAUUUCUCCCCAUUGACCAAAGAGUAUAUAUGGUUGCUUGCUGCAGCUAUUGAUCAAGACUGCACUAUGAUUCCAGUUUGACCAAUUUUGUAUUUUGCCCAUCAAAUUUCAGCGUUUGGUUCACCUUAAUCUCAAACUUUCUACUUUCUACCGGAGACAACUAAUCAGUCACCACACGUUAUGCCAAAUAAGUGUUUUACAACACUAGUGGUAUUUAUGAGACACCCAACCCACCGACAAUUUUCCUCCCUCUAUUUCUAGUACCACCACCAUUGCAUAUUGUACCACCACAUUUUCUCCUUCAACCCAUUCGCUGCCUAGAAUUUCACAAAUCCGCAGAAGCGUGACAGAGAGCUAAAAGUCAUUUAUAACAAAUGAGUAGUUCUAGGCUGUGGGGACUUUUUAUAGUAUUUUAAACUUUUGGAUUAAUAUGCUUAAAUGUUUUACGGAAGGUACAAAUGACUAAUUUUGUAAGAUUUAGAGAUAACUUUGAACUUUUUCUGACCAAGGUUGAAUUAGGGGGAAUUGUACUUAUAAUGGGAUUAGCACAUUCACCGAGUCAACAUAGAUGUAAAACUACAUGCACUAUGUAUUUUUAACAGUUUACCUUUGCUCCUUUCUCCCAUCUCUAAUUUCCUUUUCAACUCUCCAUUGAAGCAGUUCACAGAAAUGGAGCUUCCCUUUGGGAAAUACUCCACUUCAGCUCAAAGAACUCCAAGAAUAUUUCUACUUAUAGUUUUAGCAGUUACAGUUCUGGGUCUUAUCCCUCUUUACCACCCCUUUAAUUGGUACCCAGCAGAUUUAGUAACCCAAUAUCCAUCUGAAAUUUCACCCACAUACCAUGCUGAGGAGCGAAAGAUAAAGAUUAAAGAACCCAAGACUUGCGAUAUUUUCAGUGGAGAAUGGGUUAGGAAUCCGGAUGCUCCAUAUUAUACGAAUAUGACCUGCUCUGAAAUCCAUGAGCACCAAAAUUGUAUGAAGUAUGGUAGACCUGAUAGUGAUUACUUGAAGUGGAGGUGGAAGCCUAGUGGAUGUGAGCUCCCCAUUUUUAACCCGUUUCAGUUUUUGGAUAUGGUCAGAAACAAGUCUUUGGCAAUUGUCGGUGACUCAGUUGGAAGAAACCACAUGCAGUCCUUGAUUUGCCUCCUGGGCCGGGUACCAUUCUCUCCUCUGCAAUUUUUAUUAAUUUUGUUUAAGCUUUUUAUUUUCUUCCAUUUGCAUAGACUGUACUUGCUGGCAGGGCGAAUGUAGUUACUAGGUUUUAAUUGAAUUCAAAACUUUUGACGCGGAGUAAAAAUUUAAAUGUAAAAAUUCAUAAUAGAUAUGAAUUUAUAAUUUUAAAAAUAUAAUAAGUUUAAUACUAAAAAUUUUGUAAGUUAAACCCAUUAGAUUUAAAUUCUGAAUCCGCAUCUAGUUGUCGGUGUGUGGUAAAUUAUUUGCUUCUACUAUAUUCUUUUAUAGUUUAUCUUAGUUUGGUGAAAACUCUAGUUUGGAUUAGCUAGUUGGAUGCACUUUGCUUAGCUUGUUGAUGCAUAAUGGUUAAUAGAAGAUUUGGUCUACCUAAGGGCUAAGGCUAGAGCUUUCCAAGAUUUUGGUGAAAUUUUAGUGUUUUAAUUUCCAGAAUAAAGUUGUGACUUCUGAGAUAUAGUAAAAUGUACUCCCUCUCCUCUAAUAAUGUGAGUAUGUGACAACGUUUAAUUGGAGACAACCUUAAAAAGAGUAAAUAAAAAUUUAGAAUUCGUGAUUUAAAACGAAACAUAUUAUUUAUAUGAUAAAACUAAAAAGUUAAAAUUAAAUUAUUUUAAAUAAGAAAAUAUGUGUUUUUUAAAAAUAAUUAAAAGAAUAUGACAUAUAAAUUGAGACAAAAAAGUAUAGGAUUAACGGCAAAUAUGGCCAUUAACAGUAAGAUGGAGGACUGGAAAUGUAAAGUUCUGCACUCACUGAUGAUUUUUCGAUGGAAAGGGUGCACAGAGGGCUUUGGAGUAAGCACAACCUCGUGAGUCGUGAGUAUAAAAUGUGAUGUGAAAGAGUACGACGUCGUAGCACAUCCAACUGCUCAACGGAGAUGCCAGUCUAGUCACAAACCACUGUCAAAUUAAAAUAUAGUAUAUAAUAAUAAAGUCAUUGUCAUUUGGAAAUGAUUUCAUCUAGUCCAAAAAAGUUUGUUCUCAUUUCAUUAUUAAUCAUCCCUCAAAAUAUUAAAAUAACAAAGUACUAUACAAGAGAAAAGAAACGCAGACAAUAGGAGGAACAUCGGGGGCCAGCGUGAAAUUUGUCAUAUUGCUUGUUAAUCCUCAGAAAGUGUCUUGUGUUCCCAAUAAUAUUAUAAUACGACUAUUUAGCUAGAUCCAUGGAGCUUUUCCCCUUAAAAUAAUGUAUCAUGAAAAAUUGUUAGAGAAUGGGGUCAUAACUUGCUCCUUAGAAAUGUAAGACAUAAAAAAGAUAAUUAUGCCCCUCUUGAGAUUUGUUUGACUAAAUCAUUAACAACCAUGAUUAUGGUUCUUAUACGAAUAAUUAACCCAAAUAGUCGUCCACUCAACUGAUUAAACUAAAAAUAGUCGGUGAAGGUUAUAAUAUAUUCACAAUUUAUGUAUUAUAUAUGUAUGUAUAAUUGUGUACAAUGAAUGUAUAAUCUAUAUAUAUGACUUGAAAAAGUAAACAAUGAAUAUGGUUGGUACCAAAAUAAUCUUAUUUUUUUGGUUUUGAUACAACUCUUUAUAGUAAGUCCGGAAUUGCUCCGGACAAUGCGAUGCUUUGCUAAACACCGCUCUAAUUCAUGUGCUAUAGUUAGCGCUAAACUAAUCUAAAGACAAAAUUGAUGGAGUCCAUCUCAUUCAAAAGCCAAAAUAAUAGGCAUGUGCCUAAGGAAAAUACUUGCCUGAGAAUUUCUUUGGUUUGGCGGCCGACGUUGAAUUUCUUUGGUUUGGCAGCCAACAUUGUUGAAUUGUUAACAUUGAAGAAAAAGAAAUAUGUGCAAAUUGUCAAAUAUAGUAGGCUUCACAGAGUGAGGCUUCGGCUAUAAAAGGAGAGUUUCGGCUCUCAUUUCUACACACCAACAAAGAGAGAAAGAAAGAGUGAAGCUUCACAGACAGGAUAUAAGAAAAUAGUCUGUGAGAAAAAUAGAGAGAGUAAACGAUAUUGUAGUGAGGUGAGAAUAUCAAAGGAGGGUUAUUUCUUUUGAGUGUUGUAGUGGUCUUUGGAGUAUUUUACUCGGACUUACAAAGUGAAAAAUUUCUUGCUAUAGUGAUAUCAGUUGCUCAUCCCGAGGCCGUGAUUUUUCCCUUAUUCAAAAGUUUUUUCUCAUUUCAUUAUUAAUCAUCCCUCAAAAAAUUAAAAUAACAAAGUAGGAGUGCUAUACAAGAAAAGAAAAGCAGACAAUAGGAGGAAUUCUUAAUCGUCAGAAAGUCUCUUGUGUUCCCAAUAAUAGUAUAAUAGAGGAAUUUUCAUAAAUCACUCUAGUUUAGAGUCUAGUAACUAUAGUUUGCCUAAUUACUAUUUGUAGCUACUAUUCAAUUGUUACUAAUUUGUAUCACUUGUAUUCAAACGUGCAACGAAUACAACUAGUGUCAACUGUAUUCGUUCACACGAAUAAAACGUGUAUCAACUGUGUUCGUUCGUGCAAUUGUAUUUAUUCGUGCAACGAACACAAUAUGUAUCAACCGUAAACAAGGCGAAAUAUAAGUGUGUAUACAAAGGAUACAACUUAUAUCGACUGUAUACAUGUAUAAAAGGUACAACAUGUAUCGAUUGUAUUUGUUCGCGCAACGAAUACAACUAAGGCGAAAUACAGAAAUACAUAAAAUGUUUUUGUUGAGAUUAGCUUGACUAAAUCAUUAACAACCAUGACCAUUGUUCUUGUAUUAAUCUUAUUUUUUGGUUUAGAUAAAACUCUUUAUAGUAAGCCCGGAAUUGCUCCGGACAAUCGGAUGCUUUGCUAAACACCGCUCUACUUCAUGUCCCAUAGUUAGCACUAGACUAAUCUAAAAACAAAAUCAAGAAGUAAUAAAAAAACUGAUAUGCUUUUUUUACUUCUUUUUGUGUUUUUAGGUGGAAUAUCCUGUUGAUAUCUCUGACAAUCCAGAUCAAUCUUUCAAAAAGUACAAAUACACAACUUACAACUUCACCCUAGCAAUAAAUUGGUCACCAUUUUUGGUUUCAACGAAAGAAGCAGAUGCAGAUGGUCCAUGCCAUACUGGACUCUACAACCUUUACCUAGAUGAAGCAGAUGAGAAGUGGACCACCCUAAUUGGGGGAUAUGACUACAUCAUCUUAAACGCCGGCCACUGGUUUGCCCGGUGCAGUGUCUACUACGAAAACAACCAACUAGUCGGCUGCAGGUAUUGUGGACUGCCAAAUGUUACUGAACUCCCACAUAACUAUGCCUACCAAAGGGCAUUCAGAACUGCUCUUAAAGCUAUCAACGACGUAGAAAAUUUUAAGGGUGUAGCGAUUCUUAGAACUUUUGCACCUUCUCAUUAUGAAGGCGGGGACUGGAAUAAGGGAGGAGAUUGCAUAAAGACAAGGCCAUUCAGAAGUAAUGAGACUGCGUCGGAAGGUCAAAGCUUGGAGCAAUAUAGGAUCCAAGUUGAAGAGUUUAAGGUUGCAGAGAAGGAAGGAAAGAUGAAGGGGAAGAGAUUCAGAUUGAUGGAUACAACACAAGCAAUGUUGUUGAGACCAGAUGGUCACCCAAGUAAAUAUGGGCAUUGGCCUAAUGAAAAUGUGGUAAAUGAUUGUGUUCAUUGGUGCUUGCCUGGUCCUAUUGAUUCUUGGGCUGAUUUCUUGUUUCAUAUGUUCAAGAUGGAAGGCAC
rnacentral:lncRNA from 1 species